UACAGAGGGUGCAAGCGUUAAUCGGAAUUACUGGGCGUAAAGCGCGCGUAGGUGGUUUGUUAAGUUGGAUGUGAAAUCCCGGGCUCAACCUGGGAACUGCAUUCAAAACUGGCAAGCUAGAGUAUGGUAGAGGGUGGUGGAAUUUCCUGUGUAGCGGUGAAAUGCGUAGAUAUAGGAAUGAACACCAGUGGCGAAGGCGACCACCUGGACUGAUACUGACACUGAGGUGCGAAAGCGUGGGGAGCAAACAGG
rnacentral:rRNA from 1 species